AGCUCCAAAAGCGUAUAUUAAAGUUGUUGCAGUUAAAACGCUCGUAGUCGGAUUUCGGGGCGAGCCUGCCGGUCUGCCGAUGGGUAUGCACUGGCAGGGUCGUCCUUCCUUCCGGAGACUGUCCCUACUCUUAACUGAGCGGGGUCGGGAGACGGAUCGUUUACUUUGAAAAAAUCAGAGUGUUUCAAGCAGGCAGCUCGCUCUUGCAUGGAUUAGCAUGGGAUAAUGAAAUAGGACUUUGGUGCUAUUUUGUUGGUUUCGAACACCGAAGUAAUGAUUAACAGGGACAGUCAGGGGCACUCGUAUUCCGCCGAGAGAGGUGAAAUUCUCAGACCAGCGGAAGACGAACCACUGCGAAAGCAUUUGCCAGGGAUGUUUUCACUG
rnacentral:rRNA from 1 species